GUGAACAAGAUGCUGAAUCCAUUCAAUUGACGCACAAUUUGGAAUUAAAUUAAAAUCAAGACUGAUUUUGACAGCAGGGAGAAGGAUUAAAAUUCAGAAAAUUAUAAAACACAAAUUAACAAAAACUAAAGAAGAAGAAACCUAUUGGCUGCUGCUGCCGAACGGAGGAGGUGGCGAGGGCUUCGGGUGAGUGCAGGAGGAGCGGCGAGAUCGGGCGGAGGCACGGCGGAACGAGAGCAGGCGACUGGAGUUAGGGCUCCCAAUGUCUUCUUCGACUGGAGGAGAGACGCGGUGGGUAGGCGCGGCGAGGCGAGGGCUGCCGGCGACUGGAGAUAGAGCUCCCAAUGUCUUCUUCGACUGGAGGCGGAGGUUGAGGUUCAGGGGGUGCAGCGGCGCUAGGGCGGAGCGGGUGCAAGGAGGAGGCUAGGUCAAAGUGGUGUGGAGGUAAACAUAGGAAAAAAUAUCUGAUUCAAAACUUGAAUAAUAGACGACAAGAGGAGGAUGUCGUCUAUUAUAGA
rnacentral:lncRNA from 1 species